rnacentral:rRNA from 1 species
UACGGAGGAUGCAAGCGUUAUCCGGAAUGAUUGGGCGUAAAGGGUCCGCAGGUGGCAGUGUAAGUCUGCUGUCAAAGAAUGAGGCUUAACCUUAUCAAGGCAGUGGAAACUACACAGCUAGAGUACGGUCGGGGUAGAAGGAAUUCCUGAUGUAGCGGUGAAAUGCGUAGAGAUCAGGAAGAACACCGGUGGCGAAAGCGUUCUGCUAGACCUGUACUGACACUGAGGGACGAAAGCUAGGGGAGCGAAUGGG